GGCUCGUUAGCUCAGAGGAAGAGCGUGUGGCUGUUAACCACAAGGUCGAGAUAUCGUAAUUCUCACGAGCCUCCA
rnacentral:tRNA from 1 species